ensembl:misc_RNA Metazoa_SRP Metazoan signal recognition particle RNA
GCCGGGUGCGGUGGCACGUGCCUGUAGUCCCAGCUACUUGGGAGGUUAAGGUGAGAGGAUCACUUGAGGCCAGGAAUUCUGGGCUGUAGUGCACUAUGCCGAUCGGGUGUCCACACUAAGUUCAGCGUCAGUAUGGUGACCUCCCAGGGGCGAGGGACCACCAGGUUGCCUAAGGAGGGGUGAAUCGGCACAGGUUGGAAAUGGAGCAGGUCAAAACUCCUGGGCUGAUCAGUAGUGGGACUGCGCCUGUGACUAGCCACUGCACUCCAUCCUGGGCAACAUAGCGAGACGCAUCUCAA